GAGGUGAUAUGAACCGUUAUAACCGGCGAUUUCCGAAUGGGGAAACCCAGUGUGUUUCGACACACUAUCAUUAACUGAAUCCAUAGGUUAAUGAGGCGAACCGGGGGAACUGAAACAUCUAAGUACCCCGAGGAAAAGAAAUCAACCGAGAUUCCCCCAGUAGCGGCGAGCGAACGGGGAGGAGCCCAGAGCCUGAAUCAGUGUGUGUGUUAGUGGAAGCGUCUGGAAAGGCGCGCGAUACAGGGUGACAGCCCCGUACACAAAAAUGCACAUAUUGUGAGCUCGA
rnacentral:rRNA from 1 species